rnacentral:rRNA from 1 species
GUCUUUCUAGGCACACUUUCCAGUACGCCUACUUUGUUACGACUUAUUUCAUCUUAAUAUGAAAGCGACGGGCGAUAUGUGCAUAUUUUAGAGCUUAAAUCAUUAUAUAUAAAUUUAUAUAAUUACUUUCAAAUCCAAAUUCAAAUUUCUUUAAAAAAAAUUAUCCUUAAAUAAAUUUAAUGUAACCCACCUCUUCUUUAUUAUAAACUACACCUUGAUCUGAUUUUUUUUUUAAUUAAAAUUUCUGAACAUUUAACUUCUUAUAAAAUAUUCAAACUACAACGAUAUGUAAACUGAUAAAUAAAGUCUAUCUAAUCGUGGACUAUCAAUUACAGGACAGGUUCCUCUGAAAAGACUAAAAUACCGCCAAAUUUUUUAAUUUUAAAGAACAUAACUUAUACUAACUUAGUAUUCUAAAAAUUUACAUUUAAAAUAAUAGGGUAUCUAAUCCUAGUUUAAAAAUAAAUUUCCAAGCUUCAUUUUAUAAAUUUAAUCUUUAUUAAAAUUUAAAAUUUCACCUAAUAAAUUUUAAUUGAAAAUUAUAUAAUAAUUAAUUAACUUUAACUAAAAUAAUUAAAUUAUAUUAUUUGUAUAACCGCAACUGCUGGCACAAAAUUUGUUAAUAUUUAAAUCUAUAUCUAAAUCUAAAUUACUUUAAUAUUUAAUUCUAUUUACUGCGAAUAUAAUACUUUAUAAAUUAUUAAAACUUAUAAUUUAUUCUCACUAAAAUUUACAUGUAACUAUAAGAAUAAACCUAACUAAUUAACUAAAAUAAAAUUUAUA